rnacentral:rRNA from 1 species
UACAGAGGGUGCGAGCGUUAAUCGGAAUUACUGGGCGUAAAGCGUGCGUAGACGGUUAUCUAAGUCGGGUGUGAAAGCCCCGGGCUCAACCUGGGAAUUGCAUUCGAUACUGGAUAGCUAGAGUUCGGCAGAGGGAAGCGGGAAUUUCCGGUGUAGCGGUGAAAUGCGUAGAUAUCGGGAAGAACACCAGUGGCGAAGGCGGCUAACUGGUCCAGAUCUGACGCUGAGGUGCGAAAGCGUGGGGAGCAACAGG